GCAAACUUGGUCAUUUAGAGGAAGUAAAAGUCGUAACAAGGUCUCCGUUGGUGAACCAGCGGAGGGAUCAUUACCGAGUUAUUACUCCAAACCCAUUGUGAAUCUUACCACUAUUUUUGUUGUCUCGGCGGCGGCUCUGCAGGCCUCCCGCCCCUGUAAAAAGGGGAAAUGGGAGCUGGCACCCCGCCGGCAGCACCAAACUCUUGUAUUUUAUAGCGGACUCAAGCUCUGAUUAUAAAAAGAAAAUGAAUCAAAACUUUCAACAACGGAUCUCUUGGUUCUGGCAUCGAUGAAGAACGCAGC
rnacentral:misc_RNA from 1 species